rnacentral:lncRNA from 1 species
AGUGUUGCACCCUACGCUGGUCCUGCACACCAUCGGUCUCAGAAUAUGCUGACUUGGAAACGAGCCUUAUGUGAUCUUCAGCUGCUGCAGGAUCUUCUAAGGGGGACAGUCAAUGGAGAAACCUAGAAAACCUGGGGGGGUUUCAGCCCUGCUGGCCUCAAAUUUGCUGUACAGUAGAGACUGACCUUGCAUUUCCGAUUCCCCUCCCUCUACUCUCCAAAUGCUGUGAUUACAAGUGUGUGGCACUACACCUGUCCUUUCACUGUUAAAGCUUUUGGCAUUUGAACCUAAACACUUGUUUGUUGAGAUGGAAUCUUAUAGUCCAGUCUGGUCUAAAGCUCUUGAUCUUCCCACCUUAGCCUCCUGGUGCUGGGAUUUGUUAUAGAUUUGUGCCACCCCUGACCCCUGACAACACACAUAAAACUGAUCUUUAUAGCCAUGCCUGCUGACAUACAACUGCAAUGCCAGUUACCCAGGAGGUGUGAAAGGGUAGAUGGGACAAUAGAUCAGUGGUAGGAAGUUUGCCUAAUAUGCAUUGAGGCCCUGGGGUUCAUCCCAGGACUGUAGCACUGUAUUACCACCACCUAAACAAACAAACAAACAAACAUACAUACAUACAAACAAACACUUCUCUGGAACUUAGGUUUAGACAUUUAGUAUCGUCAGUAUGUCUGGGCCUGGCUUUGGGGUGGAACCCACAUCCUGAGUUGAACCCGUAGACCAUGAACAGGUUUCUAAACUACUUGAGCAUGUAUUUUUGCAUGACUGGCCAUGUGAGCCUUCAGAUGGCAUUUGGUGACUGAAUUGAGAUAGUAGAGGACAAAUUUGGGAGGUUACAGUUGUCAGCAUUUUAGAUAGUUGCAUGGCAUCCCGUGGAAAAUGCAACAGCAAGAACCAAAUACCACAGGCAUGUGCACCACUUCUCCAGCCUCUUCUACUUCACACUUCUGUCAUCUGGGAUGAAAACUUAAGCACAGUUCUUAUAAAAAUAGCUCUCUUGUCCCAAUCUCCUGCUAUAUAUACACUAGACUUGGUCAAACCACAUCCUGUACGCAGCCUUUGGCUCACUGAACAGCGCUCGUAUGCCAUGCAUGAGCUACUGCGUGUCCAGAUGGAAAUAGCACACCCGGACUCAUAGUAAAGACAUUUAUUUUUAGGUGUUAUGAGUGAUAUAUUAGAAUCACACAGAAGGAAAGCUAGACUGGAGGAGAGCAAAGUGCACAACUGAGAUCCCAGCCAUUUUCUAUCUACACUACUACACGUGCUGCCUCUCAUCCUUGGACCACAGUUCAAGGGAUGCUUUCAGGUGGCUUGCUAAUGUUAGUUACAUUAGCUCUUGUAAUGUUCCUGCUACAGCCUCCACUUUUUUCUUUCUCUUCCUUCCUCCCUCCCUCCCUUCCUUCCUUUCUUCCUUCCUUUCUUUUUUAACACAGGGUCUCUCUCUCUAGCCUAGGUUGGCCUUGAAGUCAUUAUGGAGACCAGACCGUCUAAGAAGUCAUGAUCCUCCAGCCUGAAUAUCCCAAGCGUUAGGAUUAUAGAUAUGCACCACUGAGCCUGGUUCAGGGUUUGGCUGUUACAUGCUUCCAGAAGAGCUUAGGUAUCAGUUUAGGUAGGGAUCCAUGUCCGUGCUUGGCGGUUCCUAAAGUGUGAACAAGCUACCUCUUACCUCUUAUCCCUCAGGGCUAUUGUGGGAUAUUUGCCAGAGAAGACUGCUCAGGCAUGGGUUUAAGCCAAUAGAAAGUCUUCAUUGGCCAGCCAGCGACUACACUGGGUGUUUGGGAUCCCUUUGUAGCAUUAAGUCUUUCUCAGGGUGAGCUUUUAAAGCACCAAAACAAACAAACAAGCAAACAAACAAACCUAUGUUCUGACAUAUUUUAGUUAACAGGAACAAUUAGCCAGAGCAAAACUACAGAAGCCAUAAAGCAAGGUUAGUACAGUUUGAGACUUUCCCAGAACUGUGGUCUUUGAUGGGUUAGGUCUUUGUUGUAGUUUUGGCAGGUGUUGUCAUCUACGGGCUGAGUUUUGUAGCCUGAACAGCACUUCCACAAUGGAGUCAGUUGUGUGGGUUCCUGUAACCAGGCAACAUGGAGUUAAAGCACACAGAGGUUUCCUGUGGACCUGUUGUGGAGGUUAGAACUCUUUGUAAUGUAGCACAUUGGACUUUAAGGCACAGUAGAUUAAUAUGAUAUCAUCUACGCACAUGCUAUUUGUGCCCCUGGCCUGGUGUAAUUGGCUUGAAGUGAGUCACAGAUGUGCAGAAUCUCUCCGAGGGCAGCUCCAGCAGAGGACAGUCCAGCCAGGCGUGGUUCCAGCUGAUGAAGAGGAAAUGGGACUGCCUGUCUGUAGGGCCGUGCUGCUCCCUCCUGUCCAGAGCUUGAAAGCGUGUCCCUUUCCUACAGCUGUGGGAGCUGAAGCCUGGAGAGGUCAAGGGUCACAGCUAGAAGACAAUGCUAAUUUACUCCCAUCCCCAGUUCUCCAAGCCUGGGCUGUAACCUCGCUGCUUCUCGUGUCUGUCAGCUGCCAGUUCUAAGGCGCGGCGAAUUGCUCCCUCUAAACAUUUUGGGUGUUCUCAAAAAUAACCUGCCAGCAGCGCAGAGACUGGUGUGUGCUGCCUGUACAGAUGUUGACCUUCAUUUCUGUCUGGCUUCACCUUGGUUGGCAUGGAAGUCUUAGAUUGGUGAAGAUUAAACAGAAAAUCCAGGAAGAAGCUCAUGUCAAGGAGAGCACCUGAUUUAUUCGCCCUUUCUGGCUUUUCCCAGGCCUAGAAGACCUGGAUGCUGGUGCAAAGCUUUGCAUAUUAGCAGGAAAGACACUGGAGGAUGUGUUAAUUUAACUACCCAACUGGCAGCUGCUGGACUUCUCUUGCUACCUUGGCUGUCCCUGGACAAAACAACUGUCAAGCAGUCCACUGAGUUACCCUGAAGCUGAUGCUCAUGCUGUUCUCCAUAGAUCUCUUGAGAAAAAACUACAAUUGCAGCUGGUUGCUUUGGCUCCCGGAAGUGACACUUCGGGACUUCAGGCCUGGUUCACUUUAUACCAACUUUUUUUUUUUUUUUUCAAUGACAAGCCUCAGUGAGCUCUAGAUGGCCCUGCAGCCGUCCCCACCCAGGUGAGAGGCGAAGCACCUUCCGGGGUAGACCAACUGAAGCACUGAUGAGACUGGAACUCAAGGAAGGGCUGUGCUGAUUGGUACAAAUGUAACCUUCAUUUGCAUGGGAAGUUCCUUGUGAUUGGUGGAAACCACUUCUUCUCUGGCUCUAGAAACAGGCGGUUGAGUACACUUGAAUCAGGCGGGAGAUUCCCCACCCCCACCCAAUACUGUCUUUCCCGAUGUUAGAAAAAAACGUGCCUAAAAAAGGGCUUCUCUCGGAUGGUCCUUUCUUGUCCAGUUGUAGAAGUGUGGGCUGAGCCCGGAACAGGAUAAAAAUUAGCAGAGAGCAGAGUGACCGUGAUGCAGAGACGGCAACAAAGCAGCAGAAGCAGAAAUGGUUGAACAACCUCUUGGCAGGCCAAGCUGUGAAGAGCAGCAAGGCGGCCCACUGCUUGACUGCUUUAGAACAGCGGCUGAGCAGUUUAAGAGAAUGACUUGGGCUGGAGCAAAGGGGAUGGCGGAGGCAGAGAGAGGAUUCAGAACUGAAGAAGGAAGACCAUUAAGAGUCAGCAAAGAGAAACUGCAGGUUCUGGUCUCCGGAGGAGUUUCAGAGAGUUCUCAAACCUUUAGGGCAAAGGGCUUCAGACUCUCCAAACCCAGGAACUGUGACAGUGGCCAGUCAAAAGGAAUCGUGCAAUGCCUGCUUCUGCCAAGUGCCGAGGAGGUCCAUUCUCGUCUUGCACAAAUAGCUGUAACAUGGAAGUUGGGCUCUCCCUAUGGGAGCCCUGCUGGACUGUUCUAGAGGACACUGCCUGCUGCGGCAUCCUACCCCUGGUGCUGGCUCCCUACUGUCAAACCCACAGGGAUGUGACAAAUGUCGAAGACCAGCACUUGAAGAGUUUCUUGCCUAUGCACAAUCUUGGUAGAGGAAAGUUUGGCAUCCCACUAAGCUGAUAGGUAAUGAGGGCCUUUAAAAUUCUUCUUCAGGGCAUCUUAUGAUGGGAAACCUGGUUGAAAUAGAAUAUUAAAGCUUCUCAAACCCUUAACUGCCUAGAACUCCUCAGAGAGGCCGAAGGCUUCAUGAGCCCCGCCCACCGACCUGUGAUGGGCAGUGACCAGACCCAAUCUGGUGCAAGUUUUUAUUCACCGGGGUUCUUUCCAGCUUCUGAGAGUGCACCAGCGCAUUGACCCUGUCGUAUUGACGAGACUGUGUCCCAUGAUAGUGAUGGGUACCUUCGACUGCCAUCUCUGGUACACUUCCUUAGUGUCUUUUGCCUUAUGAUCACAGAAAGGAAGUUUGAUCAACUUUUGGUUUGAUUUUGUGACAGGGUACCGAACUUAGCCUCCUGAGUGUUAGGGUUGUGUACCCCAACACUUCUGCUCUUACAAAAUGUUUCUUGUUUCAUGCUACUCCUACCAUAUGAUUUAUGUCUGCUUAUUUUGGAAUACUUUUUCAUUCAAAAUAUUAUUUUCAUUGUGAAGAUAUGAUCACGAUAUUCAAGGUAAGAAAGAGUAAACAAGGAAAAAAGCCUUUAUUUCUCUCCUGCGAUUGAGGCUUCAGGGUUAUGUCACCUUGCCUGUCCCACACACGUAUUCAAGAGCUCGUGUCAAAAGCUAGUUCCAGCUCGGACCUUAAGUUGGAGGCAGGAGGCGCGGCCUCCAGCAGCGCGCCCACAGCGCCCUCUUGAGGCUCUGGAAGGUAUCAUAGAACAGAAGGAUGCAGGAGGGGACCGAGGUUCUAAGGAAGGGAUAUUGGGGAAGGGGCGUUGGAGCAGGCGAGCUGCAGAUCUCUUGAGGCUCCGAGGUCACCCGAAUGCUGUGUCCACAGGACUCCGGGUCCUGGGCGUCGUCAACAGCGGCUGGGUUGACGGGACCCACGCGGAUCCAGCUCACAUGGCGCAAGACUCUCAACGCCUCCUCCCUCCCCUCUGCGUUCGCGCGACGAGUUCCGCAUCUUUAUCACCGCUCCCCCUGGGCUAUGUGUGGCGGCCUAGACCUCCGGGUGUCCCCAGAUGGAGCAGGUGCUUGGAUGCCGCGCCGGGUUGGGGCAGGAUGUUCGGAUGAGCCCUAUGACUUUGGCGGCCUCAGUUUCCCCAGGAUGACUGCCCUCGUGCGUGGUCAGCCAAGAGGAGCGGGUCAGAGUAUCCACCACGCACCGUGAGCGCCCAGAGGAGUGCAUCCGCCCAAGUCCCACCUCCUAAGACUCCAGACUGUCCCUACCUCUCAGCACGUCUCCGCUCUGAUCUUGAUUUUCCUGGAGGUCGACCCAGGUUAAACCCCACAAGCCUUGUAGCCCCGAGCCUGUCGGGUGCGGGCUUGGCCGAGGCUUUCUCGACUGUAGCGGGCACUGUGCUGGGAGGACAUGCGCAGUCGGCCAGCCAGAAGCCGGAGGCAGCCUUCUCCUGGGUGACUGGCCCCUGGGUCAUCUCGCUUCAGCCUGCUUUGGUUCUAGGAGUUGGAAAUGCUUAGCUUGAAGUCAAUGUCCCCAGUGUAAGUGUCUGCGAGACGGCUCGCCGGGUGUAGGCGCUUGCCACCAAGCCUGACCACCUGAGUUUUCUGUGGAAGGAGAGAAGCAACACGGAAGUUAUGCUCUGAUCUUCACAUGCGCUGUGGUGCGCACGCGCACACAUCCCCCUCGUCCUGUAUUUUUUUUUUUUAAUUUUAAAAUAAAUUUAAAUCUCCAAUAUACCGAAAACCACAUGUAUAAAACGUACCGAAUAACAAACCACCCCACACCUCACACCUUUCUGCUUCUUAAAGGUUCCAUCCUUGUCCAGGGUGUGGCUGCCUAGCCACCACUCACCCUGACUAUGGUAGAGAUGUUCGUUGAGGUUAGUGUUUAUAUUGACUUAUUUGUUGGUGUUUGUUGGAGGUAGGAUGGCUAACGAUGUGAUUGCCUUCCUGUCUGCCAGUAAACUUCAGACAGCAAUACUUUUCCCCCAGAGCAAAGGCAGGGCACAUGCCUGUUUCUGGGCACGUAUCCAUCUUCAAGAAAGUCAGUUGCUACCCUGUUGUCCUUCAAAGACAUCGAGUCCUGGGAUGGAGAGAUGGUGUCUUGGUUAGGGUUUUACUGCUGUGAACAGACACUAUGACCA